UACGUAGGGUGCAAGCGUUAUCCGGAUUCACUGGGUUUAAAGGGUGCGUAGGUGGGUUGGUAAGUCAGUGGUGAAAUCUCCGGGCUUAACCUGGAAACUGCCAUUGAUACUAUCAAUCUUGAAUACCUUGGAGGUGAGCGGAAUAUGUCAUGUAGCGGUGAAAUGCUUAGAUAUGACAUAGAACACCAAUUGCGAAGGCAGCUCACUACACGGUCAUUGACACUGAGGCACGAAAGCGUGGGGAUCAAACAGG
rnacentral:rRNA from 1 species